GACCNGAAAUUGGGGAGCUUUGUGCUGAGAGGUUNCCAUUAGGUAACGACCCAUUGACCUGAUCUGGAUAAUACCAGCGGAGGGAGAAUAAAUGGAUACAAA
rnacentral:ncRNA from 2 species